rnacentral:rRNA from 1 species
UCUCGCCCUGUUUUUCAAAAACAUGUCUUCUUGGAUUGAUAUGAAGUCGUGCCUGCCCAUUGAGUAUUUUAACGGCCGCGGUAUAUCUGACCGUGCAAAGGUAGCAUAAUCAUUAGUCUUUUAAUUGGAGGCUGGAAUGAAUGGUUUGACGAGACAAUAACUGUCUCAAUUUAAUUAUAUUGAAUUUUAUUUUUAAGUUAAAAAGCUUAAAUAAUAAUAGGGGACGAGAAGACCCUAUAGAUCUUGAAAUGAUAUUUUAAUAAUUCGCGUUUAGAUCUUAAAGAUGAUUUUUGGAUUAUUAUUUUUGGUGGGCGUGACCAGGGAAUAUAAAAACUUCUUUAAUAUUAACUACGAUAUUAGGUUAGAUGAUCCUAUAAUAUGGAAUUAAGAUAAAGAUACCUUAGGGAUAACCAGACGCAAUAUAUAUGUGCUAGAGUUCAUAUUGAUAACAAAGAUUGUGACCUAGAUGUCGUACUUAAUGAAUAAUAGUUAGGAGCAGGACCUUAAUUCCAUUCCGGUAAAUCGCCCUAAA